rnacentral:tRNA from 1 species
CCACUGGUGGUUCAGUGGUAGAAUUCUCGCCUUCCAUACAGAAGACCUGGGUUUGAUUCCUGGCCAAUGCA